UGAGUGCGUCAGAGAAAGGAGAGAGGUUGGGAACCACUGCAUUAUGUUUAUAUAAUGUAUGAUCUAUUCUCAGCCGAGGUCUGGUUUCUCCUUCCCUUUUGUUUCGUAUACUAUAGAAUUGAGACUGUUGCUGUAAUUCCUGUAUUUCUUGCCUUCACAUCACCUCUUCACACAAAAGUUGUUUCAGUCAUGGUUUCAUCUGUUUGCUCUUGUUGUGAAGGCUGAGACUUUUCCAUCUUAUUGUAAACUAGUUUAAUUUAUAGAGUGAUUUGUGGCUGUUGCACAUUUCUUGAUUUCUCAUCAGCUUUAUAUCAAAACACUUUUUUUUAUAGCAGGGUCAUAGGAACCAUCUAAAAACAUCACUGAGCUAUCGGUAAGCCCCUCCCCUCGAGCGCAGAUGAGCCAAUAGCAGUCGAGUAUCAGCUGCACGAGGAGCAGAGCUGCAACAAAUCUUUGAGAUAUCACUGGAUGCAGAAAGUGCCAACCUGAAAGCUUUGUCCUGCAGUUGUGCGGCUGGUAAAGGAUUCUGCAGUCACGUAGUUGUCAUCCUGUACCAGACCGCACAUUAUUCACAGCUGGGUCUGCAGGCUGUCCCCCCCCCCGGCCUGCACAAGUGGCUUGCAAAGAUGGCACAGACCAAGAACACAGGGAAUCCAUCUGGAACCGGUUAGUGAGCUGGUGGUGCAAAAGCCCAAAACAGCUGGCAAGGAUGGUCUGAGGUCCGCACUGUACAAGGCAUAUACAGGACCACUGCCAGAUCCAUAUAUGAUGGCAUCUGGAAGCAAAUUAAGGCAGGUGCAGCCCCAGCCUCUCAUGGCUGUUGUAUAGAAUGGGGUUUCUGAGAUGGAGCUGACGCCAUCUAAAUUUGGGUCUGUCCCUCGUGGAUCCCCCAUGUCCUAUCACUGUCCACCCAAGAAGUCCAGUGACCUCCUCCUACACCACAUGGCUGCAGAAUUUCCAUCCCUUCCUGUGAUGCGGCACACUUUUCCCAGGUUGCAUUUCGUCCCGACCUUGCAUCAGUUAAUGCAUCUCCAGUCUCUUGAAGUGUCACCGCAGCUGUCCUGCGAGAUAGCAAAAGAAACUCAGCAGCAAUCCAGAUGUCCUGCGUGGACACAGCUACGGCGACCAAGGCUGAAUGCUAGUCGUUUUUGGGAUGCUUGUUGUAGUAGGGCGUGUCGUGCAGAGCUGGAGUCUGCAGCUAUUCAGACGACCAGAGGCUCCACAAAGCAAACAGCUGCAAUGAAGCGUGGUCUACUAGUGGAGUCUGAAGUGCUGGCAAACUAUGCUGAACUGUUGCCAGUUAAUGUGUUACCAGCCGAGUUCGUCAUUCACCCUGAUGCACCACAUCUGGGGGCCAGUCCAGACGGUCGGGUGUAUGACCCUUCAGAGUCGCCUCCUUUUGGCCUGGUUGAGGUGAAGAGCAGCACAAAAACGGAUCCAUCUCAGGUUGCUCACCUCAAGGUGCAGGAAGGCCACGCCAGCCUGAGGCGUUCACAUAAGUACUACUGGCAGGUUCAGGGCCAACUGGCAAUCACAGGACUGACAUGGUGUGACUUUGUUACCGAUACCCUAUCAACUUUAACUGUGGAAAGAAUUUGGCGUGAUGACUCAUUCAUAGUGGAAAUGAAAGAGAAAUUGGAUAUAUAUUAUUAUGGCACAUACAUGAAUGCAUACCUUGAAUUACACUAAUCUUGUCUUUACCAAUCAGUUUAGCCUUCUGUCUUACUGUUGAUGAUCUGUAAUGUUAUUUUUUAUUGUAAAUGUUUGUUGUUAUUUGAGUUGUUAUUAAUCAGUUGAUGUGACGCAUACCAAAAAAUUCAACGAUGCACAAUUUUGACCAAAAUUGUUUUAUUU